rnacentral:misc_RNA from 1 species
GGCGAAGUCUCCGGGAUAGGUGAAAUCGGCGGCACUCAAAAUUGCCUGAUUAGGCUGCGUGAGAGAAUUGAUUUUCCGGCCAACUGAUUUUGAGGAAGAGUUUUACGUGAAAGGAAGAAUAUCUUCGGUCUUCUGCUGGGAUACACCAAACCAUUAUAUACCAUUGAAACUGCAUCAUUUGAUAAGGAGAAAUCUUCUUAUUUUCUCCUGCAAUUGAAGGAGUGUCAAAAGUUAGAGAUAGAACGGAAGAUUUUAAAGAUGUU